rfam:Pantoea ananatis LMG 20103, complete genome.
CAUGAAAACACUGUCGUUUUUCUUCGCUUUCUUUUUUACCUUCCCCUGACUGGGAGGCCAUUCGUCGUGUAAAAAGAAAGCGAAGACGAACAACAAAGCCUCCCAACCGGGAGGCUUUUUUAUU